UACGGGGGGUGCGAGCGUUGUCCGGAAUCACUGGGCGUAAAGGGCGCGUAGGUGGUCUGAUAAGGGUGUGGUGAAAGCCCGGGGCUCAACCCCGGGUCGGCCGUGCCGACUGUUGGACUAGAGUGCUGUAGGGGCAGGCGGAAUUCCGGGUGUAGCGGUGGAAUGCGUAGAGAUCCGGAGGAAGACCGGUGGCGAAGGCGGCCUGCUGGGCAGUUACUGACACUGAGGCGCGACAGCGUGGGGGAGCAAACAGGG
rnacentral:rRNA from 1 species